rnacentral:rRNA from 1 species
UACGGAGGAUGCGAGCGUUAUCCGGAUUUAUUGGGUUUAAAGGGAGCACAGACGGGUCGUUAAGUCAGCUGUGAAAGUUUGGGGCUCAACCUUAAAAUUGCAGUUGAUACUGGCGUCCUUGAGUGCGGUUGAGGUGUGCGGAAUUCGUGGUGUAGCGGUGAAAUGCUUAGAUAUCACGAAGAACUCCGAUUGCGAAGGCAGCACACUAAGCCGUAACUGACGUUCAUGCUCGAAAGUGUGGGUAUCAAACAGG